rnacentral:rRNA from 1 species
CGCGUAGGCGGGUUCUCAAGUCCGGAGUGAAAGCCCGCGGCUCAACCGCGGAAGCGCUUUGGAUACUGGGGACCUCGAGGGAGGUAGGGGCGUGCGGAACUUCCGGUGGAGCGGCGAAAUGCGUAGAUAUCGGAAGGAACACCGGUGGCGAAAGCGGCGCGCUGGACCUCUUCUGACGCUGAGGCGCGAAAGCCAGGGGAGCAAACG